AAAGGCACAGUAGACCAGGAAGCACACUACCAAAAAUCAAAGAAGUUCCCUGAGACUGCUGGGUUUGUUGUCAUUUACAUAUGAGUGAAAGAGAACAACAAAAGGGCUACACAAUCAGACACCAAACUACACUUGUUCAGAUUCAUGCUACCACUUGCUUGAGUUUUCUCACACACAAUUCCUUCCCCCAUGGCCCUACUCAUCUUUUCUUGGAGACAAAUAUAGGUUCAAUUUCCCCAGGUUUCAGCCAGACAAUCCAGCUGCCAGAAAUGUGCUGGCUGAUCAUCUUCCUGGAGCUACUUCUCGGCUACUUACUUGGGUCUGUCAAAUGUGGAAAAGGAAGGAAAAACAGAGGACCCAUGUUGUGAAAAGCCAGGAAUUUCACACUUACCCAUAUGAAGGACUGAUAUGCGGCCCUACAACCAUUCCAGUUAUGGCAAAGCCAUGCCAACAACAUUCUUGACAUGCUUGAAGCUGAUGGCGUGCCCGGACAAAUGUUCCCUUGUUCCCUAUUCCCUUCAGUUUCUGGUGUUAAGUAUUAGUUGAGCCCCCUAUCACCCUGCAGAAAAUAAAAUAAAAUAAGAUAAAAUAAAGUAAAAUGCACAGAUGAUACCAUGGAAGUUUCUGCUGAUGCAGUGCUGGAAGCAGGAAGGCGUAUUAAUGAGUAGUACUCUGGACUAGAGCUGAAGUCGUUUAUUUAAAAUGGCAAUGAGAUGAUGAUCUGUUAAAAACUCCAGUGGGAUGAGCAGAGGGUAAUUUGUCCAAGGCCUCAGAGGUAUCAAAUAGGCUGGUCAUUUUCACAAACUGUUGCCAAAAUAAUCCUAAAAGCCCAGAGCAGCAAAAAGAAGCAUGAAACUAUAAAGAUCCAGCACAGAAAUGGAAUGGAAGCAAGUACUACAUCGCUCUAAUUCUUUCAGUGUUUUGUUCUCCCCCCCCCCCUCCUUUGGAUGGCUUAAUUAUUUACUUUAGAAAUAGUAACACAUUCCUUGGCUACCAAACAUCUAGGGCUUAAGAAAUCAGGCAGUACUUCUGAAAUCCAUACCAGGAUAUUUUCCAGAUUGAAGAACAGGAGGGAGAUGGAGAAAAAGAGAAUCUGUUGAAGAUUGUCUGAGUUUGCACUGUGGGCGAAGUUCUGGCUCAUUUGGGUGUGACGGUGACAGCAGAGGCGUCUGGCUGUCAGUUUCUCUGGUCUAAGCUUCCAUUCCACGUCUACGGAGAUGACUCGCCUCCAACUCCAGUUAACUUCUUGGGAGUCCUGAGCACUUCGACAAAGCUGUUUACAAAAUGCAAAGCAUCUGGGGAGCCAAGGCUGAGUGAGCCUUGAGCAUUCACUUUCUUGCUCAUUAAAAUUUUUUUUUUUUAA